AUCUGCCUUUGAGCGGGGGACAACAUUUGGAAACGAAUGCUAAUACCGCAUAACAACUUUAAACACAAGUUUCAAGUUUGAAAGAUGCAAUUGCAUCACUCAAAGAUGAUCCCGCGUUGUAUUAGCUAGUUGGUGAGGUAAAGGCUCACCAAGGCGAUGAUACAUAGCCGACCUGAGAGGGUGAUCGGCCACAUUGGGACUGAGACACGGCCCAAACUCCUACGGGAGGCAGCAGUAGGGAAUCUUCGGCAAUGGACGAAAGUCUGACCGAGCAACGCCGCGUGAGUGAAGAAGGUUUUCGGAUCGUAAAACUCUGUUGGUAGAGAAGAACGUUGGUGAGAGUGGAAAGCUCAUCAAGUGACGGUAACUACCCAGAAAGGGACGGCUAACUACGUGCCAGCAGCCGCGGUAAUACGUAGGUCCCGAGCGUUGUCCGGAUUUAUUGGGCGUAAAGCGAGCGCAGGUGGUUUAUUAAGUCUGGUGUAAAAGGCAGUGGCUCAACCAUUGUAUGCAUUGGAAACUGGUAGACUUGAGUGCAGGAGAGGAGAGUGGAAUUCCAUGUGUAGCGGUGAAAUGCGUAGAUAUAUGGAGGAACACCGGUGGCGAAAGCGGCUCUCUGGCCUGUAACUGACACUG
rnacentral:rRNA from 1 species